CUGGCCACAUGCUUGAUAUUCAGUAAACUGCAGGGGGUUUUGUUUUUAAUAGAGUAAGGAAGGCAAUCAAAUAAAGUUUGAUGUCAUAGUUACAUAGCAGCGUCCAGAUUGGUUAUAAGAAAUAACACACCCCCUGUAGCAAUCAAACUCAAACAAGAGCAUUUCCCCAAAUCAUAAUGAGGUUAUUUAUGUAUUUAUGUCUUAAUUUACUCUUUAGCACUUGUAAGACAGACCACUUCAGCAAUGGACUCAUCUAAAAAAAAAAAAAAAAAACCAGACUGAGGAAGAUCAAAGGAGUCUUCAUAAGGUUUCAUAUCUAUCGGGCAGAAAGACAAAGCAAAACCACGUAGCUGUGACUUCAAAGCGGCUGCAGGAAGGUUUAGCUUACACGUGAGACGUGUUCCAGCUUUGAUGCACAAACAGUUUGUCACCGUGAGAGUCAUCAACAGACAAAGUCAUCACAAAGGUCCUCAUCCGAAGCCUCAAGCAGCAGUUUGGAUAAACCAGUCAUUUUGGCAGCACGUGGCCUUGACAGAGCUGCAGUCAUCAAAGUCCUAAGUUUGGAGCCAGAUGACACUGAUCACCUACAAAGCAAGACCGUGAUCAAAAUUACCAGAAAUGUCAGCUAACAUAGUAACCAACAAGAAUGCCACAGGAAUGAUAAUGAUAUUCUCCAAACUUCUGGAUUUCUGAGAAAGUGAUCUCGGCUGUACAGUUCAUGUGCUGGAGGAGGAAAAUAGUGGUGCUGUCAACGGCAUGGAAAGGACGAGGGCACAAUGGUAAAGUGCUGCCAGAGCGAUGGUGGCUGAGACGCAGCGGAGCGGAGGUAGAGACAAUUCAUAAUGGAUAUAAGGAAAUUUUUUCAAAAAAAGGAGCCACAUUCAGGUAAAAGUGUAAAAUCAAAUGAUCAGUCAAUAAAGGAUUAUGUUGGA